GAUGAACGCUGGCGGCGUGCUUAACACAUGCAAGUCGAACGAGAAGUGAAGACGGAAACCUUCGGGCGGAAGGCUUUAUUUCGAGUGGCGGACGGGUGAGUAACGCGUGGGUAACCUGCCUCAUACAGGGGGCUAACAGUUGGAAACGACUGUUAAUACCGCAUAAGACCACAGCACCGCAUGGUGCGGGGGUAAAAACUCCGGUGGUAUGAGAUGGACUCGCGUUCGAUUAGCCAGUUGGCGGGGUAACGGCCCACCAAAGCGACGAUCGAUAGCCGAUCUGAGAGGAUGACCGGCCAUAUUGGGACUGAGACACGGCCCAAACUCCUACGGGAGGCAGCAGUGGGGAAUAUUGCACAAUGGGGGAAACCCUGAUGCAGCGACGCCGCGUGAGUGAAGAAGUAUUUCGGUAUGUAAAGCUCUAUCAGCAGGGAAGAAAAUGACGGUACCUGAGUAAGAAGCCCCGGCUAACUACGUG
rnacentral:rRNA from 1 species